GUGCUCGCUUCAGUAGCACGUAUACUAAAAUUGGAAUGAUACAGGGAAGAUUAGCAUGGCCCCUACACAAAGAUGACAUGCAAAUUAGUGAACCAUUCCAUAUUUCU
rnacentral:snRNA from 1 species